rnacentral:lncRNA from 1 species
AAGAAACAUCCUGUUCCUCUACAGUGACCUCGCUCCAGUCUUCAGGCCUGCAUCUGGUAUUCAUGGAGAUCUUAAGAAGGUAGGAGCCACCUGGUCCAGCUCUCCUGGAACUGAGAGCAAGGACUCAAUGUGUUGUGCGCCCUGGCCUGGUGCAUUGAAGUCGCCACUUACAAAUGAAUGAAUGAAAUGAGAAUACUAUGAAGCCAUCUGAAAGAACGAGUCUCUGUUUCCUCGUCGGUAAAUUGAGGUCAAUAAUUUCCACUUCACGGAAUGUGGUGAAGAACAAACAGGACUGUGAGAGAUGCUGAGGCCUUGGGGAUCUCCCCACAGAGGACCCGCAUCCCACACUCAAGCAGCGUCCGCUCCUAGCCCC